rnacentral:rRNA from 1 species
UACGGGGGGGGUAAGCGUUGUUCGGAAUUACUGGGCGUAAAGGGCUCGUAGGCGGCCAACUAAGUCAUACGUGAAAUCCCUCAGCUUAACUGGGGAACUGCGUGUGAUACUGGAUGGCUUGGAUUUGGGAGAGGGAUGCGGAAUUCCAGGUGUAGCGGUGAAAUGCGUAGAUAUCUGGAGGAACACCGGUGGCGAAGGCAGGUCUCUGGGCAUUAACUGACGCUGAGGAGCGAAAGCAUGGGGAGCAAACAGGG